rnacentral:lncRNA from 1 species
AUGCCAUCAAAUUUGGAAAACCCAGCAGUGGCCACAGGACUGGAAAAGGUCCGUUUUCAUUCCAUCCCAAAUAAAGGCAAUGCCAGAGAAUGCUCUGACUAUUGCACAAUUGUACUCAUCUCACAUGCUAGUAAAGUAAUGCUCAAAAUUCUCCAAGCCAGGCUUCAACAAUAUGGGAACCGUGAACUUUCAGAUGUUCAAGCUGGCUUUAGAAAAGGCAGAGGAACCAGAGAUCAAAUUGCCAACGUCCGCUGGAUCAUCAAAAAAGCAGGAGAAUUCCAGAAAAACAUCUAUUUCUGCUUUAUUGACUAUGCCAAAGCCUUUGACUGUGUGGGUCACAAUAAACUGUGGAAAAUUCUGAAAGAGAUGGGAAUACCAGACCACCUGACCUGCCUCUUGAGAAACCUAUAUGCAGGUCAGAAAGCAACAGUUAGAACUGGACAUGGAACAACAGACUGGUUCCAAAUAGGAAAAGGAGUAUGCCAAGGCUGUAUAUUGUCACCCUGCUUAUUUAACUUAUAUGCAGAGUACAUCAUGAGAAACACUGGGCUGGAAGAAGCACAAGCUGGAAUCAAGAUUGCCGGGAGAAAUAUCAAUAACCUCAGAUAUGCAGAUGACACCACCCUUAUGGCAGAAAGUGAAGAGGAACAAAAAAGCCUCUUGAUGAAAGUGAAAGAGGAGAGUGAAAAAGUUGGCUUAAAGCUCAACAUUCAGAAAAUGAAAAUCAUGGCAUCUGGUCCCAUCACUUCAUGGGAAAUAGAUGGGGAAACAAUGGAAACAGUGUCAGACUUUAUUUUUUUUGGCUCCAAGAUCACUGCAGAUGGUGAUUGCAGCCAUGAAAUAAAAAGAUGUUUACUCCUUGGAAGAAAAGUUAUGACCAACCUUGGCAGCAUAUUAAAAAGCAGAGACAUUAUUUUGCCAACAAAGGUCUGUCUAGUCAAGGCUAUGGUUUUUCCAGUAGUCAUAUAUGGAUGUGAGAGUUGGACUGUGAAGAAGGCUGAGCACUGA